UGCAGGUUGGACUCAUCUACAAGUAGCUGAACAUCAUUGUGGUGCUCUAACUUCGGGGUUGCCUUCUGAGGUUUUUAGAUUGGUUACCAAGCUGGUGGGCCUGGAGUCCUCAUGGCAAUGGACUGUACCCAAGAAGAAAGGGCUCCUUUUCCUUUUACCCCAAGCGUCCACGCAAAGGGCCGAGCAGGAGUGGAAAAAACCUAUUGCAUCGUCGGAGACCUAUUGCAUUUAUUGAAGCGGGUGGGCGGCGGUCGGCGGUGCAAAGCCAAGCAGAUUGAGAGCGAGGUUUUCAAGUGAGGAAUCCAAGGCCGAUUCACACUGCAUUCCCUACAUGCCGACUCUUCUCCUGGGCGCUCACAAGUUAGGAGGAUCCUUCUCUUUGCUUUCUUUAAAAUAAAAUUUUUAAAAAAUGGAGGGAAAAAACACACAA